rnacentral:rRNA from 1 species
CACACCGCCCGUCACACCCGGAAAAUUGAUUGCACCAGAAGUCGUUGAGCUAACCGCUAUUUAUAGUGGGGGCAGGCGCCUACGGUGUGGUUAGUAAUCGGGGUG